rnacentral:misc_RNA from 1 species
GCUGAAGAACGCAGCGAAAUGCGAUACGUAGUGUGAAUUGCAGAAUUCAGUGAAUCAUCGAAUCUUUGAACGCACAUUGCACCUCUCGGUAUUCCGGGAGGUAUGCCUGUUCGAGCGUCAUUUGUACCCUCAAGCUCUGCUUGGUGUUGGGUGUUUGUUCCGCCUCUGUGUGUGAACUCGCCUCAAAACAAUUGGCAGCCGGCGUACUUGUUUCGGAGCGCAGCACAUUUUGCGAUCCAGAUCAACGUACAGCGGCAUCCAAGAAGCCUUAUUUAACGCUCUUGACCUCGGAUCAGGUAGGGAUACCCGCUGAACUUAAGCAUAUCAAUAAGCGGAGGA